UACGUAGGGGGCAAGCGUUACCCGGAUUUACUGGGCGUAAAGCGCGUGUAGGCGGCUGGUCAAGUGUGAUGUGAAAUCCCACGGCUCAACCGUGGAACUGCAUUGCAAACUGGCGUGGCUAGAGUGCAGGAGAGGGAAGUGGAAUUCCGGGUGUAGCGGUGAAAUGCGUAGAUAUCCGGAGGAACACCAGUGGCGAAGGCGGCUUCCUGGCCUGCAACUGACGCUGAGACGCGAAAGCGUGGGGA
rnacentral:rRNA from 1 species